rnacentral:rRNA from 1 species
GAUGAACGCUGGCGGCGUGCCUAAUACAUGCAAGUCGAGCGAACAGACGAGGAGCUUGCUCCUCUGACGUUAGCGGCGGACGGGUGAGUAACACGUGGAUAACCUACCUAUAAGACUGGGAUAACUUCGGGAAACCGGAGCUAAUACCGGAUAAUAUAUUGAACCGCAUGGUUCAAUAGUGAAAUACGGUUUUGCUGUCACUUAUAGAUGGAUCCGCGCCGCAUUAGCUAGUUGGUAAGGUAACGGCUUAGCAAGGCAACGAUGCGUAGCCGACCUGAGAGGGUGAUCGGCCACCCUGGAACUGAGACACGGUCCAGACUCCUACGGGAGGCAGCAGUAGGGAAUCUUCCGCAAUGGGCGAAAGCCUGACGGAGCAACGCCGCGUGAGUGAUGAAGGUCUUCGGAUCGUAAAACUCUGUUAUUAGGGAAGAACAAAUGUGUAAGUAACUAUGCACGUCUUGACGGUACCUAAUCAGAAAGCCACGGCUAACUACGUG